AUUGAACGCUGGCGGCAUGCCUUACACAUGCAAGUCGAACGGCAGCACGGGUGCUUGCACCUGGUGGCGAGUGGCGAACGGGUGAGUAAUACAUCGGAACAUGUCCUGUAGUGGGGGAUAGCCCGGCGAAAGCCGGAUUAAUACCGCAUACGAUCUACGGAUGAAAGCGGGGGACCUUCGGGCCUGGCGCUAUAGGGUUGGCCGAUGGCUGAUUAGCUAGUUGGUGGGGUAAAGGCCUACCAAGGCGACGAUCAGUAGCUGGUCUGAGAGGACGACCAGCCACACUGGGACUGAGACACGGCCCAGACUCCUACGGGAGGCAGCAGUGGGGAAUUUUGGACAAUGGGCGAAAGCCUGAUCCAGCAAUGCCGCGUGUGUGAAGAAGGCCUUCGGGUUGUAAAGCACUUUUGUCCGGAAAGAAAUCCUUGGCCCUAAUACGGUCGGGGGAUGACGGUACCGGAAGAAUAAGCACCGGCUAACUACGUG
rnacentral:rRNA from 1 species